AUAGCUACUGUGAGUGUGA
rnacentral:miRNA from 1 species